UACGUAGGGGGCAAGCGUUAUCCGGAUUUACUGGGUGUAAAGGGGGCGCAGACGGCGAUGCAAGCCAGGAGUGAAAGCCCGGGGCCCAACCCCGGGACUGCUCUUGGAACUGCGUGGCCGGAGUGCAAGAGGGGCAGGCGGAAUUCCUGGUGUAGCGGUGAAAUGCGUAGAUAUCAGGAGGAACACCGGUGGCGAAGGCGGCCUGCUGGACUGCAACUGACGUUGAGGCCCGAAAGCGUGGGGAGCAAACAGG
rnacentral:rRNA from 1 species